AGUGUAAUAAGGCUUUCAUGGGUGGUGGCUCACUCCCUUUGAUAGAAAGGGGGUGAUGCCUAUGACAGUUUACGAGUCAUUAAUCGUAAUGAUUGCGUUCGCGACGCUUGUCGUUGCAAUUCUGUCAGUAAAGAAGUAACCACCCUGUCAGCCUGACUAGCAACUAGGGUGGAAUUACUUUCACUUUGUGAGUCGCCCCCUUGAAGGGCUGUUGCACUCAAGGCCGUUUGGUGUAACACCACCAUUCGG
rnacentral:sRNA from 1 species